UACGAAGGGGGCUAGCGUUGUUCGGAAUUACUGGGCGUAAAGGGCGCGCAGGCGGCCGCUCAAGUCAGGUGUGAAAGCCCCGGGCUCAACCUGGGAACUGCACUUGAUACUGAGUGGCUAGAGUUCGGGAGAGGAGAGUGGAAUUCCCAGUGUAGAGGUGAAAUUCGUAGAUAUUGGGAAGAACACCAGUGGCGAAGGCGACUUCCUGGCCUGUUCUUGACGCUGAGGCGCGAAAGCUAGGGGAGCAAACGGG
rnacentral:rRNA from 1 species